rnacentral:rRNA from 1 species
UACAGAGGGGGCAAGCGUUGUUCGGAAUUACUGGGCGUAAAGGGCGCGUAGGCGGCCUGUUAAGUCGAACGUGAAAUCCCCCGGGCUCAACCCGGGAACUGCGUCCGAUACUGGCAGGCUUGAAUUCGGGAGAGGGAUGCGGAAUUCCAGGUGUAGCGGUGAAAUGCGUAGAUAUCUGGAGGAACACCGGUGGCGAAGGCGGCAUCCUGGACCGAGAUUGACGCUGAGGCGCGAAAGCCAGGGGAGCAAACGGGG